rnacentral:rRNA from 1 species
CAGCCGCCGCGGGAACACAGAGGGUGCGAGCGUUAAUCGGAUUUACUGGGCGUAAAGCGUGCGUAGGCGGCUAAUUGAGUCGGAUGUGAAAUCCCCGAGCUUAACUUGGGAAUUGCAUUCGAUACUGGUUAGCUAGAGUGUGGGAGAGGAUGGUAGAAUUCCAGGUGUAGCGGUGAAAUGCGUAGAGAUCUGGAGGAAUACCGAUGGCGAAGGCAGCCAUCUGGCCUAACACUGACGCUGAGGUACGAAAGCAUGGGGAGCAAACAGGAUUAGAUACCCCAGUAGUCCCUGUCUCUUAUAC